AUACGGAGGACGCGAGCGUUAUCCGGAUUCAUUGGGUUUAAAGGGUGCGCAGGCGGCCGUGCAAGUCAGCGGUGAAAGCCCGGGGCUCAACCCCGGAAGUGCCGUUGAUACUGCAUGGCUGGAAUGCGGUCGAGGCGGGCGGGAAGGGGCGUGUCGCGGGGGAAUGCGUAGAUAUGCCGCAGAACACCGAUGGCGGAGGUAGCUCGCCGGGCCUGCAUGGACGCACGGGCCCGAGAGCGUGGGGCAAGAACAGGAUUAGAUCCCCUGGUAGUCCACGCCGUAAACGAUGGGCGCUCGUCGUAGGCGGUAGACAGUCGGCGGCCAAGCGAAAGCGAUAAGCGCCCCACCUGGGGAGAACGGUCGCAAGGCUGAAACUCAAAGGAAUUGACGGGG
rnacentral:rRNA from 1 species